ensembl:lncRNA
CUCAGCACCCACACAAACUGAUUUUCAGAUUCUUCUCCCUUAUGCUGCUGCUGCUAAGUCGGGGAAAGAUGAGAGCUUGGCUGAUAAGCAAGCUGAGAAAGGCAAGCACACUUGGCCUAAGACAGAAGGGUCCUGGCAACUUUUGCAAAACUGGAAUUAGAGACUAGAGCGAUCAGAGAACCAGAGCUGUAAUGGAUCCUUGAAUUGUAACCUUUUGGGAGAUAAGAUUCACCAGUCCGUAAUCUCAGAACUAAAGGUCACCUGCCUCUACAAAGGUCAACAGGCACUAGCUGAGAUCCUGGUACUCAGACCCUUGGUGUGUAAUACUCAGAUGAAAUGGAAAUUUUCAACCACAUGCAAAAGAAAGACUAGAUCCAACCCCAGCAAAUAAAGAUACAUCUGCAAUGGAAACAGUUUCAUCAAUGUAUUACUUCAAGUUAUUUAUGAUUUUUGGCCUCAGCUUAGUGGACCAUGUAAAUUCAAAGACCACCUUCCUAGUAGUCAAAAUUUUCAAAGCAUUAAUUUGAUUCAAGAGUAAUGUGUUUUGAGGCUGCCUUCUUUCACCACUUAUUUAUUUAGCUGAAUUGCAGAUCAGCUUAAAAAGUCCAUUGAUAAUGAAAUAACCUCUUUCAGAAGGGUGAUUGUAAAAUAUGUGUCAGUUCAUUCACAGAAAACAAAAUGUUUAGUAAGAUUUGCCUUCAGAGAUUUCUGAAAUUUGAGGCCUAUGGAGGCAAGAUACGUCUGCCAGUGAAAUUCACCAGGUCAGUGCCUACCAGACUUUCUAGAGUUCUGUUGAGUAGAACUCAAAAGAUGACCUGAGGCUGGG